UUGCUCAUCUCUUUAUCUCCUUUACGGUUUAAACAUUUGCCACCAGUAGUUCCCUUUCUGCUUACAGAGUAAACAUGCCCUACCGCCCUUGCUCUGGCCUGUAAGAAACCUUUUACCCUCUUUUCUAGUUCCCUGGCCCCUGCACACACACAUGAAUAAAAACUGGAAGCUAAGAUUUGCAAAUUAGAGGAAAUAUAAGUCAUGAGAAGAGAGAACUGACUGCAUAAGGCUGAUUUACCUACCCUCAGCCUCGUCUCUCCAGAUCCAGUGACCCUGCCUUCUGUACUGUGCAGCCCAUAUGUGCUAAUCCUGAGCCAAUGAGAAUGGAUCCUCAAAUCCCUAGAGUGAUUGGAAAGACCCAACUCCAGCAAGUGCUUCUCUCACCCCUACAUGUGAGCCAUGAUUCUUUCAUCUAUGGCUUCCAGUACCAGGUAUGGAGAGGACCUUAAAUACAACAAGGCACCAUCUUCCUGACAUCUAAGAUAAAGGUGUCACCAUGCCACCGCUGGGAAUGCGUUGACAGGACAGGCAUGAUUAUAAUUUAUGGAGUUCACACCUGGGUAAAGCAUCAGUUGACUCCCUUGUGCACCUGCUUCCAGUAGCCUGCAUGGCACCUUCUAACACUGUGAAAACUAACUCUGAAUGUAAUGCAGUCAGGCAAUUCUAAGUGAAAUAAAUUCUAACAACUACCAUAAUUCCUAUUCAAGUAAUUAAAUGAUAUUGAUGUAGUUUUUUCAGUUCUUGCCAGGCAUAAAUGAUAAUGUUAUAAAAUAUAAUCUAAGUUUUAUACUCUUAGGCUGCAGUAUUAGUGCAAUCCCAGGAAUAAAAAUACGAUGUGGUUUUGGUAAACGAGAAGGAAAAAUUUAUCUGAAGACGAGGAAUUUGCAGAAGAAGCCGUAUGCAGGUAUAUAGAACUGACUAACGUAUCCUUGAGAUAUGGAUAUCCUGCUUCACACACUCUAACUCCCAUGGCUCAUAUUUAGCAUGACAAAAAAAGGCUUUGGGAAUGUGAUUAAGUUAAGAAACAUGAGAUAGGAGUGUUAGUCUAUAUUAUUUGCUGGGUGGUAUGAAACUAAUUUUAUUUUUCUUGAAAAAAAGAAGUAGGUGCGUUAGUUAGAAGAGUUAAUGUGAUCAAAGUAACACUGGGGAGAAAUGGCAAUCCCAUGUUGUUUGGCUUGAUGAUGGAGUAAGUGGUCAACAACCAAGAGAUGCACAUGGCAUCUGCAAGUUGGAAGAAGGAGGACCUGAGCUCUGCUCUGGAUCUUCAUAGAUAUCCUCUACCUAUGAAGGUGACUACUCCUUCAUCAAAACUCUGAUGGUGGUGAGUUUGGAUUUAUCCCACCUAGAGUUGUAAACAACAAAUUCGUGUCCUUCUAAGCCACUAAAUAAUGGUAGCAUGUCAAAGUGGGUAAUGGAAGCUAACAAUAGAUCUUAUAUCGUGCAAGCAAGUUAAAUUUGAGAGAAGUUGGGUGGAGGUCUCAUUUUCUGAAAAUGGGUGAAAAAAUGACAGCUAUAAAAUAGGCAGAGAAAGAAAGAAAUGGAUUUUGGGAAAAACAUGUAUUCAAGUUCAACCUGUUCUUCAAACUCCUCAGGCAAUUGAGCAUUCUAUUUUGUAAGUUAAGUAAAAUUUAACUUAGUAUUCUACUGUUCCAGAAAAUGAGCAAGAACUUCCCACAUGUUAAAACCACAGUACUGUGAGUUAUGCUUAAGUUGUCUGGAUAAAUAACCCACUCUGUGGAUCUGAUUAUGCUACUAACCUUUUUAAUAUUGUUUCCAUAUUGUUAAAAUGAGCUUAGUGUUGUGCCUCCUUAAUAUGUCUAUUUGGAAAAAUUCUAUAUCUAUAAUGCAAUAUCAUAUAUGUGAUACAACAAGUAAAUGUGUAUAUUAAAUCAAUUCCUAACAUAUGGGAAUCCCCAUUCCUCAAGAAUAUGUUUCACUAUCUUGUUACAGGCUCUUUCACAUUCCUGCAGUUGAGUACAUUGGGACAAAGUUCCACUUCCCCAGGAGCGUUCAUCCAGACUCCUCCAUUUUUACUGAAAAUGAGUCAAACUUUUAGAAAUUUUCAAUAAGUUCACCAUUCUAAUGACUUUCAUUGUGCAAAACUUCUAAGAGAUAUUCCACUUGCAAUUUAUGAAUUUUGUAAUGGCAACAUGCUCCCUUCCAGGAUGCAUUGCUUCCCAUGACAUAUUAGCAAAUAUGGCCCAU